rnacentral:lncRNA from 1 species
GGAAAUGUCACUUUUAAAAAUACAUAUCGUGGAAGAGUAUACAUGUUUGCCCAGAGUGAAUCAAUCCCUUCACAGUGAGCCAUUCAAAAGAUUUGAAUCGUUUGGAAGACCACGUGACUGGAAUUUUCCAGAGGCUAAAGACCGUUGCUCCGCCAGCUUCGUUUUCAAACAAGUGACGACGACAGACGGUUCAACUUCGAGGAAGAGCUAACGUUUGCGCUUUCGCUAAUAUUUGGCUACAAACUCACACAUUUGAGUUUUAUUCGUAAAUUAUCGUUUUGAUAUAUGUUUUGAAGGCAAUUAUCUUGCCAUAUAUUCUUUACAUCGGCGUUAUCACCAGAACAAAGGUUUCAAGCUUCAGUCGACUCGCUUGUGUCCGAAAACAAAACAAUGGCUAAGGGAGAAGAAUCGCACUCUGAAAUGGCCCACGAUCGUCAGAGUGAUGGCAUCAAUGUGAUCUUUGACCAAAACAGCCCUGCCUCAUCUCGGUCCCGCUCACGAUCUAGAAGCAGUAGUGGCAGCAAACUCUCACCUGGCUCUGGCCGCUUUAGGGGACGUGGUAGCCACAGGAGACGCCACAAGUCCUCAUCCAGCAGCAGGUCCCCCACUCAUACGCGGUCACGCUCUCACACUCGUUGCCGUAGGCCUUCGUCCCACUGCCGCUGUGACAACCAUCGCAAAAAUGGCCGUGGCCGCCAAUCCCCACCACGGCGCUCCAGGGCCCACUCCAGGUCUUCCAGCCGUCGGAGCAGGAGGGCUGCGAGCCCGUCUUCCCAAUCCAUAACCCACAGAGGCGAUUCAAGAUCCGGAUCUUCAGAGAACUCUGUCAAUUUGAGUUUGGAUGACAAAGGAGAACUCCUCACAGCUGCAAAGGUCAUUGCUACUACAAUCCUAGAAGUGGAAAAGCUGGAGCUUCCUGAGAGUGUGAAACCAAUCCUAUUGGAGCAGUCGGAGUUCAAACGGGUGUCGCUAGAUACAUGGGUGAGACAAGACCCUGAAAAGACUCUGUCACAGAGCGAUGAGGAGGAGCCUGACGAUAUGUUCAGCUCUAAGAUGUCCCCAAAAAGGAAAACGAUCUCUUUCAGCAUUAAUAAUUCUUUGUUCAAACCAUCCCUGGCAUCUCAAUCGAGUGCUAAGGUAACUUCCAGGGUGGACAGCUUUGACAGCAGGAAGCCCUACGGCCACUGGGUUCGGGUCAAAUCAGGCCAAAGCUCCAAUAUGUUGAAAGAGUUAAGUCGGGAGAGGUGAAGAAUUCGUUCAGGUGGGAUUAUUUUUUUCCCUUGUAUAUUGUGCUUUUUAUGAAAUCAAUAAAGAUAUUUAUUUGAUAAAAAUAUUGUUUCUGUGUUUUUGUAACUUGUCUCAGAAAACCAUGAAUUGCAACUUCAUCUUGAGCCUUUAAAAACUGUUCAGGGAAAACAU